UCUUGAAAGUGAUAAUGAUAUUAUGGUUGUAUGUAAGGAUUUCCAAGUUCUUGAGAAAUGCUACUUCUAGUAUUUAAUGGUAAAGUUCAUGUCUGCAACCUAAAAUGUUAAUAAGUAAGUUUUCUA